rnacentral:lncRNA from 1 species
UUUUGAUGACCUCUUUCAAUUUGGUAGUGUAUGCAAAAAUUGGCGAGAAUUUCAUAAAAUUUAUUGGAGGAAUUUCAUGGCAUCCGAAGAACCAUUACUUAUCCAAUGGUGCGCUGUUAAGAGAUCUCUCAACUUCUUCAGCUUACCUCACGAUAAAGUUUAUCACUCAAAGAUGAUCAAUAACUACUUCCGAUUUGUCUAUCAUGGGUCUUCUAGCGGAUAUUUCAUCAUGACACGAAAAGAUAAUUCAUUUAUACUUAUUAAUCCAUUUACAAGAAGAAAGAUGCUAAUCAAUAACUCAGUCUUCCAAGUUAAUUUCAGUUAUUUUUCCUGCAAAGUCUUGCUUGCUUUUUCCAAAGGCUCAAAGGAAUUUGUCUUGGUGGUUUCAUGUAAAAAUUCUGAUAAUUUGCAUGUCUAUCAAUCUCGAAAUCUUUGUUGGACUGCUUAUUCGACACCACAGAAGGUUGUUGACUUUGCUGUUUUAAAUUCUAUCAUAUAUGUUGUCACUGACAAGGCCAGCAUAGGGAUACUCAGCUUGAAAUAUGCAAAUAUAAAUUUUUUAGAACUGAAGAGUACUCCUGGUGUAACUUCUAGUCGUUAUUGGUCACACGUAGGGUUGGUUAGUUGUGAUGGAUAUCUUUUAGUGCUUAAUUUUAUGUCAAAGGUAACGUAUAACGUGUACAAGAUAGACUUCUCUACCAUGGAUUAUGUCAAGUUGGAAUCUUUGGCUGACAUUGCAAUAUUUUGUGUUCCGCCGAAAAGGUAUUAUGCACUGAGCAACCCGCACAUGUGGGGUUAUGAGAACAAUUCUAUCUAUGCCAUCGAUGUUCCAUGUGGCAAAUACACGGUGUAUAAAGGAGAUAACAAAAAAAUGCCAGAAUUCAUUAUUCCUGGUUUUAAACGUAGUGAACUUCCACAUCCUAUUUAUUGCCGCUCAAAACAACGUUACAUAGAUUGGUGUUUUAGACAUCUACAAUAUGAGGUAGAUUAUACUCUCGUUGAGUAGCAUGCUUAUUACCCUACACUUUGGGUUGGACCUUGUUCUAUUUGUUUUUCUUUUGAUUUUCGAAUAAAUGGACAUGAUUUAAUGGUUUACGGUGUUAUUAUUGGACAAGUUUUGAGAUAGUAUAGAGGAUUUAAUGUACUUUUUCCUAGCUUGUAGUUGUAGCAUUUCUUGUCGUGGAUUGUGGCACAUUGAGGAGAAGCAUAUCAACCGAUUUUAUAAUAGAAUUUUGAUAUGAUUUUUUUUUACCAUUAUAUUUUUCUCGAAAAUGAAAUUAAUAGUGAUUCCUUUCCCUUUGCCUUACAAUACAACAAGCAUUUUACGAGAAUCUGAUAUUAAAUUUUGAGAACUAAUGAGAAUCUGAUUAAAUUUGGAAAACUAAUGAGAAUCUGAUAUUAAAUUUUGAAAACUAAUAAUUUAUUUAUUUAUUUUCUUAGAGAACUAUUGAUUUUUUAUAUGUAAAUUAGUGAUAUUAAGAGAUUCAAAGAGGUCCUUAAAUAAAAAGAAGAUGAAAUGAGAUUAGAAUAAACUAUUUUUCUAAAUUCAUGGCAUAAAAUAGUAGUAUAAACUUUUUUCCUAUAUUAUUUAUGCCAUAAUACAUUACUUUUUUUAUGAUUAUGUUGAUAUUUUUUUAUAUUAUAUACUCUAGGCGUCUGUCCGUUGAAAUCUGACAUAUGUUUUGGGGGAAAAUUUGACUCACUUGUGUUGUGAUACAUCUCUAUUAUAUAUUUACAAAUAUGUUCAAAAAUCAAUUCUAUCUUUACCCACACCCAUUCAUGAAGAUGCGGAAACCCUUGCUUAUUUUUCACUGAAUCGAGGUGGCGAGUUCAUUUGACAUUGUACUUAAGCUAUACAACACAUUGCUUCCACAAUACGACCUAGCAUUCACACUAUUAAAUAUUUGGUCCAUGACAAAAGUUUUACCUUUGUUGUUGAGGCCUAACACAACCCUAUCAUUCCAUCUGGAAAUGGGACCGGCUAUUCAUUGCAAAGCUAUAACUAGGUUGGAUUGGAAAUUAAACUACAGCAACUAGGCAUGAUUGGAAAUUAAACUACUUACAGAAAAACAUAAAAAAAAAAAAAGGGUAAUACAUAAUUAUAUUGUAUUAUAUUUAUAUGUUGGUCUUGAUAUUUGUUUCGAAAAAAUGGGAAAAUAAUAUUUCUUUAUCUCCUCAUUUUCUAUGAUAUUAUGGGUCCAUAAUAAUAAUAAUAAAAAAAAAAUCAUGUUUUAGAAAUAUAGAAAGAAAAAAAAGUUUGAAAAUUACCUAACAUCGUCGUUUGUUGUGAUACAAAGGACAAAAAAAGAAGAAGGUAGAAGAGAACUGUCAACUUCCUUGGGAUUUGCUUGACAUCAUUUUGAAGAAUCUAGAUUUUGAUGACCUCAUUCAAUUUGGUAGUGUAUGCAAAAAUUGGCGAGAAUUUCAUAAAAUUUAUUGGAGGAAUUUCAUGGCAUCCGAAGAACCGUUACUUGUCCAAAGGUGCGCUUUUAAGAAAUCUUUCAACUUCUUGAGCUUACCUCACGAUAAAGUUUAUCACUCAAAGAUGAUCAAUAACUACUUCCGAUUUGCCUAUCAUGGGUCUUCUAACGGAUAUUUCAUCAUGACACGAAAAGAUAAUUCAUUUAUACUUAUUAAUCCAUUUACAAGAAGAAAGAUGCUAAUCAAUAACUCAAUCUUCGAAGUUGCUUUCCAUUUUUUUUCGUGCCAAGUCUUGCUUGCUUUUUCCAAAGGCUCGGAGGAAUUUGCCUUGGUGGUU